AUGGAGCUGCGGUCGGGCCACCGCCUCAAUCCUCCGUCGUUGUCCGUGCCGCGCCGGCGCCGUCCCUUCCGCUCAGAAGGCGGCGGAACGGACCGGAUCAGCGCUCUUCCCGACGACCUGCUCCUCCAGUUUUAUGCACUAGAUGCGGCGAGGAACUUCAGUCAAGAGAUAGCAUCACUUCCCAAAUUUUUUGUUCUGCAUCUAAGUCUGGUAACACGGGGGCAUAUUUUUGGGCCACUGGUGUUGAAUCUACUUGGGAUCUGCACUGUAAUACAAAAGCUUGAGGUGGUCAUAGACAAAGUCACGUGCAGACAAGUAUGCCCAUCAAAUUGUCCUUGUGAGCAACCACAAAACUGGAGAAGUCAAAUUAUCUCCUUGGCAGCUCUUGAAGAAGUAGAAAUAGAAUGUUUCGAAGGAACUGGCAAUGAAAUUGAUUUCUUGAAACUUCUGUUCAGAUCCACGCCUCUGAUGAAAACAAUGACCAUGACAUUGUCCCCUGAGGUUUUACCAACCAGCAGAGGAUGCAAGAAAACCUACAGGAUUUUUAGGGAAAACCCAUCUGUGAAAUGCCGUGUUUAUCGCAGCGGUGGGGAGGAGGUUCUGUACCCUUGA
rnacentral:rRNA from 1 species